rnacentral:rRNA from 1 species
UGGCUCAGGAUGAACGCUAGCUACAGGCUUAACACAUGCAAGUCGAGGGGCAGCAUGACGAUAGCUUGCUAUGUCGAUGGGCGACCGGCGCACGGGUGAGUAACGCGUAUCCAACCUUCCCCUUAGUAGGGCAUAGCCCGGUGAAAAUCGGAUUAAUACCCUAUGUUAUUCGUCGAGGACAUCUGAAGUGAAUCAAAGAUUUAUCGCUAAGGGGAGUGGGGAUGCGUCUGAUUAGGUAGUCGGCGGGGUAACGGCCCACCGAGCCAUCGAUCAGUAGGGGUUCUGAGAGGAAGGUCCCCCACACUGGUACUGAGACACGGACCAGACUCCUACGGGAGGCAGCAGUGAGGAAUAUUGGUCAAUGGGCGCGAGCCUGAACCAGCCAAAAGUAGCGUGCAGGAUGACGGCCCUAUGGGUUGUAAACUGCUUUUAUACGGGGAUAAAGUGAGGGACGUGUCCCUUUUUGUAGGUACCGUAUGAAUAAGGACCGGCUAAUUCCGUGCCAGCCGCAGC